GGGGUUGUGGCGGGGCCGGCGCGUCGCUGUUCGCGGCGGCGGUGGCGCGCGCCUCGACCGGUGCGCUGCUGGUGGACCUCG
rnacentral:tRNA from 1 species